UACGUAGGGUGCAAGCGUUAAUCGGAAUUACUGGGCGUAAAGCGUGCGCAGGCGGUUCUAUAAGACAGAUGUGAAAUCCCCGGGCUCAACCUGGGAACUGCAUUUGUGACUGUAGAGCUGGAGUACGGCAGAGGGGGAUGGAAUUCCGCGUGUAACAGUGAAAUGCGUAGAUAUGCGGAGGAACACCGAUGGCGAAGGCAAUCCCCUAGGCCUGUACUGACGCUCAUGCACGAAAGCGUGGGGAGCAAACAGG
rnacentral:rRNA from 1 species